rnacentral:rRNA from 1 species
GCAGCCUGCAACUCGGCUGCAUGAAGCUGGAAUCGCUAGUAAUCGCGGAUCAGCACGCCGCGGUGAAUACGUUCCCGGGCCUUGUACACACCGCCCGUCACACCAUGGAAGUCUGCAAUGCCCGAAGCCGGUGGCCUAACCACUUAUGUGGAAGGAGCCGUCUAAGGCAGGGCAGAUGACUGGGGUGAAGUCGUAACAAGGUACC